AGUUCGUGGUGCGGGCAACAUCGGAGCAAGUCCUUGUACCUCUCUCGGGCAUCAUAAAUGCUCUCAUCAUCGAACUGCACAAAACAAGAUAUAUCAUUGCUCAAUCU
rnacentral:snoRNA from 1 species